rnacentral:rRNA from 1 species
UGCCCAAGAGAUCGGGAUAACACCUGGAAACAGAUGCUAAUACCGGAUAACAACAGAUGAUGCCUAUCAACUGUUUAAAAGAUGGUUCUGCUAUCACUCUUGGAUGGACCUGCGGUGCAUUAGCUAGUUGGUAGGGUAACGGCCUACCAAGGCGAUGAUGCAUAGCCGAGUUGAGAGACUGAUCGGCCACAUUGGGACUGAGACACGGCCCAAACUCCUACGGGAGGCAGCAGACG